GAUGAACGCUGACAGAAUGCUUAACACAUGCAAGUCAACUUGAAUUUGGGUUUUUAACUUAGGUUUGGGUGGCGGACGGGUGAGUAACGCGUAAAGAACUUGCCUCACAGCUAGGGACAACAUUUGGAAACGAAUGCUAAUACCUAAUAUUAUGAUAAUAGGGCAUCCUAUAAUUAUGAAAGCUAUAAGCGCUGUGAGAGAGCUUUGCGUCCCAUUAGCUAGUUGGAGAGGUAACGGCUCACCAAGGCGAUGAUGGGUAGCCGGCCUGAGAGGGUGAUCGGCCACAAGGGGACUGAGACACGGCCCUUACUCCUACGGGAGGCAGCAGUGGGGAAUAUUGGACAAUGGACCAAGAGUCUGACCCAGCAAUUCUGUGUGCACGAUGAAGUUUUUCGGAAUGUAAAGUGCUUUCAGUUGGGAAGAAAGAAAUGACGGUACCAACAGAAGAAGUGACGGCUAAAUACGUG
rnacentral:rRNA from 1 species